ensembl:lncRNA
AGGCGGACCGCCGCCUCCUUCACUGGGAGGUCCGGGUAUGUGUGGGAUGAGUCAUGAAGUUAUUACACCGUCAGUUUCAUUGUCCUGGGCAGCAAUGUUUGUUGGAAGUACUUAUGUGUUUUUUUAAUGUAUUUUUUUCAGGACCAGUUGGCUCGUGGCCUGAUUCCUGUACCAGUGGUACUGCAGGAUAUGGAGACGGCAGCCCCCACCCGGAGGAGGCGGACCGCCGUGUCCUCCGGUGGGAGAUCCGGGCCAUAACAGCAUCCACAGGCGAGGUUAAUUCUACAGUGAUCAUUUCCACUGAGUUCAAGAAGGAGUGAAAGUAUUCACUGGGGAACCCGCUCUGCAAGAGAGAAGUCACAGAACAGAAGAAGGGCUUAGAAAGAUUGGAAAUAUACAAGAUAUUCAACCUGCACUUUAAUGGAAUCAGUUAAAUAGGUGAGCAUCAGGUGUUUGGGGUGCUUCACUCAUACUUGACUGAAUUUGAAUUGCUUGGAUCAUGAAGGUCAUAAGUCUGUGACUGGAUCAGUGAGUCACUUUGUCUGUCUGGUUACACCUCCCACAGAGUUCACAUCUACCUGCAAUACUCUGUCUUUUUAUGGUACAUGUUGUGUUGCUCAACUUUUUGCACUGAGCUUAUUUUUGCUUUUAGACUCCUUAAACUCUCUGUAGCUUCCUGCUACUUUACAGAGUUUUUUUUCAAAUGAAUAUUUUUAGACAUGAACAUUAGAGCUUGAUGCAGUCUACCUCUGUGGUUAUACGGUGAGCCUUGUUCCCAGCAGGCAACAGGUUAACAGAAAAUAUUGUGAAGUGACUGUUGUUGUUAAAUGGUGCUGCAUUAAUAAAACUGUACUGAACUGAAAUAAAAUCGUUGUAUAAUAAACUUCCCCAUGAACUUCUCCAGCAUCUGAUUUUAACACUGUGAUGAAGCACUCUACUCUUAACCCUAACCCAGCGCUCCAGCCCCUACCGGUCCAUGAGUCACUUGAAUUUUACAGUGUUUAUUUAUCAGAAAAAACAAGUUAAAUUAAAUAGCUGUCCAGUACCUGUGCAACAGAUGGUAGUGAUGGUUCAACAGAAACAUCCUAUAC